AUCCAGCUGACGAGUUCGAAAUAGAACGAAAUGCGCGUCCUGGAU
rnacentral:hammerhead_ribozyme from 1 species